UACAGAGGGGGCAAGCGUUAUUCGGAAUUAUUGGGCGUAAAGGGCGCGUAGGCGGCCAUUCAAGUCACGGGUGAAAGCCCUCGGCUUAACCGAGGAACUGCCUGUCAGACUGGAUGGCUUGAGACCGGGAGAGGUGAGUGGAAUUCCCAGUGUAGCGGUGAAAUGCGUAGAUAUUGGGAGGAACACCAGUGGCGAAGGCGGCUCACUGGACCGGAACUGACGCUGAGGCGCGAAAGCGUGGGGAGCAAACAGG
rnacentral:rRNA from 1 species